UACGGAGGGAGCAAGCGUUACUCGGAAUUACUGGGCGUAAAGGGCUCGUAGGUGGCCAACUAAGUCAGACGUGAAAUCCCUCGGCUUAACCGGGGAACUGCGUCUGAUACUGGAUGGCUUGAGUGUGGGAGAGGGAUGCGGAAUUCCAGGUGUAGCGGUGAAAUGCGUAGAUAUCUGGAGGAAUACCGGUGGCGAAGGCGGCAUCCUGGACCGACAUUGACGCUGAGGAGCGAAAGCUAGGGGAGCAAACGGG
rnacentral:rRNA from 1 species